rnacentral:rRNA from 1 species
AUUGAACGCUGGCGGCAGGCCUAACACAUGCAAGUCGAGCGGAUGAAGGGAGCUUGCUCCUGGAUUCAGCGGCGGACGGGUGAGUAAUGCCUAGGAAUCUGCCUGGUAGUGGGGGAUAACGUCCGGAAACGGGCGCUAAUACCGCAUACGUCCUGAGGGAGAAAGUGGGGGAUCUUCGGACCUCACGCUAUCAGAUGAGCCUAGGUCGGAUUAGCUAGUUGGUGGGGUGAAGGCCUACCAAGGCGACGAUCCGUAACUGGUCUGAGAGGGUGAUCAGUCACACUGGAACUGAGACACGGUCCAGACUCCUACGGGAGGCAGCAGUGGGGAAUAUUGGACAAUGGGCGAAAGCCUGAUCCAGCCAUGCCGCGUGUGUGAAGAAGGUCUUCGGAUUGUAAAGCACUUUAAGUUGGGAGGAAGGGCAGUAAGUUAAUACCUUGCUGUUUUGACGUUACCAACAGAAUAAGCACCGGCUAACUUCGUG